AUUGAACGCUGGCGGCAGGCUUAACACAUGCAAGUCGAGCGGGGUGAUGGUGCUUGCACUAUCACUUAGCGGCGGACGGGUGAGUAAUGCUUAGGAAUCUGCCUAUUAGUGGGGGACAACAUCUCGAAAGGGAUGCUAAUACCGCAUACGUCCUGCGGGAGAAAGCAGGGGAUCACUUGUGACCUUGCGCUAAUAGAUGAGCCUAAGUCGGAUUAGCUAGUUGGUGGGGUAAAGGCCUACCAAGGCGACGAUCUGUAGCGGGUCUGAGAGGAUGAUCCGCCACACUGGGACUGAGACACGGCCCAGACUCCUACGGGAGGUAGCAGUGGGGAAUAUUGGACAAUGGGGGGAACCCUGAUCCAGCCAUGCCGCGUGUGUGAAGAAGGCCUUAUGGUUGUAAAGCACUUUAAGCGAGGAGGAGGCUCUUUUGGUUAAUACCCAAGAUGAGUGGACGUUACUCGCAGAAUAAGCACCGGCUAACUCUGUGCCAGCAGCCGCGGUAA
rnacentral:rRNA from 1 species